rnacentral:rRNA from 1 species
AUACAGAGGGUGCGAGCGUUAAUCGGAAUUACUGGGCGUAAAGCGAGUGUAGGUGGCUCAUUAAGUCACAUGUGAAAUCCCCGGGCUUAACCUGGGAACUGCAUGUGAUACUGGUGGUGCUAGAAUAUGUGAGAGGGAAGUAGAAUUCCAGGUGUAGCGGUGAAAUGCGUAGAGAUCUGGAGGAAUACCGAUGGCGAAGGCAGCUUCCUGGCAUAAUAUUGACACUGAGAUUCGAAAGCGUGGGUAGCAAACAGGAUUAGAAACCCCAGUAGUCC